AGCGAACGCUGGCGGCAGGCCUAACACAUGCAAGUCGAACGAAGACUUCGGACUUAGUGGCGGACGGGUGAGUAACACGUGGGAACGUACCUUUUGGUUCGGAACAACUCAGGGAAACUUGAGCUAAUACCGGAUGAGCCCUUAGGGGGAAAGAUUUAUCGCCGAAAGAGCGGCCCGCGUUAGAUUAGCUAGUUGGUGAGGUAAGGCUCACCAAGGCAACGAUCUAUAGCUGGUCUGAGAGGAUGAUCAGCCACACUGGGACUGAGACACGGCCCAGACUCCUACGGGAGGCAGCAGUGGGGAAUCUUGCGCAAUGGGCGAAAGCCUGACGCAGCCAUGCCGCGUGAAUGAUGAAGGUCUUAGGAUUGUAAAAUUCUUUUACCAGGGACGAUAAUGACGGUACCUGGAGAAAAAGCCCCGGCUAACUUCGUGCCAGCAGCCGCCGUAAUAC
rnacentral:rRNA from 1 species